rnacentral:rRNA from 1 species
GACGAACGCUGGCGGCGUGCUUAACACAUGCAAGUCGAACGGAAAGGCCCUGCUUGCCGGGUACUCGAGUGGCGAACGGGUGAGUAACACGUGGGUGAUCUGCCCUGCACUUCGGGAUAAGCCUGGGAAACUGGGCCUAAUACCGGAUAGGAGCCAUUUUUAGUGUGAUGGUUGGAAAGUUUUUUCGGUGUAGGAUGAGCUUGCGGCCUAUCAGCUUGUUGGUGGGGUAAUGGCCUACCAAGGCGGCGACGGGUAGCCGGCCUGAGAGGGUGGACGGCCACAUUGGGACUGAGAUGCGGCCCAGACUCCUACGGGAGGCCGAUGUGGGGAAGAUUGCACAAGGGGCGCAAGCCUGAUGCAGCGACGCCGCGUGGGGGAUGACGGCCUUAGGGUUGUAAACUCCAUUCGCUAGGGACGAAGCUUUUUGUGACGGUACCUAGAGAAGAAGCACCGGCUAACUACGUG